GACGAACCGUGCGAACGUUAUUCGGAAUCACUGGGCUUAAAGGGCGCGUAGGCGGGUCACCAAGUCCGGGGUGAAAUCCCACGGCCCAACCGUGGAAGUGCCUUGGAUACUGAUGACCUCGAGGGGGAUAGGGGCGUGCGGAACUCAGGGUGGAGCGGUGAAAUGCGUAGAUAUUGCUCGGAAGGCCAGAGCCGAAGGGGCCCUACUGGUACGUAACUGACACUGAGGCACGAAAGCGUGGGGAGCAAACAGG
rnacentral:rRNA from 1 species